rnacentral:piRNA from 1 species
UAGCAGGUAUUCGUUUCACUGA